AGGGGAAGGGGGCUGCUUACCAUGCAAGUCGAACGGUGAAGCCAAGCUUGCUUGGUGGAUCAGUGGCGAACGGGUGAGUAACACGUGAGCAACCUGCCCUGGACUCUGGGAUAAGCGCUGGAAACGGCGUCUAAUACUGGAUAUGAGCUUCUACCGCAUGGUGGGGGUUGGAAAGAUUUUUCGGUCUGGGAUGGGCUCGCGGCCUAUCAGCUUGUUGGUGAGGUAAUGGCUCACCAAGGCGUCGACGGGUAGCCGGCCUGAGAGGGUGACCGGCCACACUGGGACUGAGACACGGCCCAGACUCCUACGGGAGGCAGCAGUGGGGAAUAUUGCACAAUGGGCGGAAGCCUGAUGCAGCAACGCCGCGUGAGGGAUGACGGCCUUCGGGUUGUAAACCUCUUUUAGCAAGGAAGAAGCGAAAGUGACGGUACUUGCAGAAAAAGCGCCGGCUAACUACGUGCCAGCAGCCGCGGUAAUACGUAGGGCGCAAGCGUUAUCCGGAAUUAUUGGGCGUAAAGAGCUCGUAGGCGGUUUGUCGCGUCUGCUGUGAAAUCCCGAGGCUCAACCUCGGGCCUGCAGUGGGUACGGGCAGACUAGAGUGCGGUAGGGGAGAUUGGAAUUCCUGGUGUAGCGGUGGAAUGCGCAGAUAUCAGGAGGAACACCGAUGGCGAAGGCAGAUCUCUGGGCCGUAACUGACGCUGAGGAGCGAAAGGGUGGGGAGCAAACAGGCUUAGAUACCCUGGUAGUCCACCCCGUAAACGUUGGGAACUAGUUGUGGGGUCCUUUCCACGGAUUCCGUGACGCAGCUAACGCAUUAAGUUCCCCGCCUGGGGAGUACGGCCGCAAGGCUAAAACUCAAAGGAAUUGACGGGGACCCGCACAAGCGGCGGAGCAUGCGGAUUAAUUCGAUGCAACGCCAAAA
rnacentral:rRNA from 1 species